rnacentral:rRNA from 1 species
AUUGAACGCUGGCGGCAUGCCUUACACAUGCAAGUCGAACGGCAGCACGGGUGCUUGCACCUGGUGGCGAGUGGCGAACGGGUGAGUAAUACAUCGGAACAUGUCCUGUAGUGGGGGAUAGCCCGGCGAAAGCCGGAUUAAUACCGCAUACGAUCUACGGCUGAAAGCGGGGGACCUUCGGGCCUCGCGCUAUAGGGUUGGCCGAUGUCUGAUUAGCUAGUUGGUGGGGUAAAGGCCUACCAAGGCGACGAUCAGUAGCUGGUCUGAGAGGACGACCAGCCACACUGGGACUGAGACACGGCCCAGACUCCUACGGGAGGCAGCAGUGGGGAAUUUUGGACAAUGGGCGAAAGCCUGAUCCAGCAAUGCCGCGUGUGUGAAGAAGGCCUUCGGGUUGUAAAGCACUUUUGUCCGGAAAGAAAUCCUUGGCCCUAAUACGGUCGGGGGAUGACGGUACCGGAAGAAUAAGCACCGGCUAACUACGUG